GGGAAGGAUGAGAAGCUUCGACUAAGGUUCGGCUCGAGCGUCAGCGAGAGAGCGUUGCCGCAGGCAACGACCCGAAGGGCGAAGCGCGCAGCGCUGAGUAAUCCUUCCCCCACCACCA
rnacentral:sRNA from 1 species